rnacentral:rRNA from 1 species
AGCGAACAUUGGCGGCGCGUUUAACACAUGCAAGUCGAGCGGCAGUCCUUCGGGACGAGAGCGGCGAACGGGUGAGUAACACGUGAGUAAUCAACCUAUCGAGUGGGGAUAGCCGUUGGAAACGACGGGUAAUACCGAAUACGAUCUGCGUUAUUAAGAUGCAGAUGAAAGGCGGGGAUCUUCGGACCUGUCGACGAUAGACGAGCUCGCGGCCCAUUAGCUAGUUGGCGGGGUAACGGCCCACCAAGGCGAUGAUGGGUAGGGGGUGUGAGAGCAUGGCCCCCCACACUGGGAUUGAGAUACGGCCCAGACUCCUACGGGAGGCAGCAGUGGAGAAUCUUGCACAAUGGGGGCAACCCUGAUGCAGCGACGCCGCGUGGACGAUGAAGGCCCUUCGGGUUGUAAAGUCCUUUUCUAUGGGAGAAGAUGCGAAGUAGUAACUGACUUUGCAGUGACGGUACCAUAGGGAAUCAGUCACGGCUAACCUCUGUGCCAGCA